GCACGAAAUCCCGACCCAGAAGCAGCUCGUCUAUGAUGGUUUAGCACCAGGUUCCUCACGAACGUGCGUUUUAGGGCUUGGCAGAAACAGUGGAUGAUUCAUGUGAUCUGCAUUUGUGCCUGAUUAGUGAAGGAGAAGAAUGCAUUUUUAUUCCCCAAAUCUAGUUUCUGGCAGAAGCCAGCACUGAAUUCAGGAGAACUGCUUUGGAGCUGGCGUGUGCCUACCCCACGGAGGAGGUCAUUUGGGAGCAUCUGGUCAGACAAGUGUGGAGUGAGUAC